GAAUGUGUAGAACAACAUCCUUAGAACCCAUGCGGAUAUAGUUUUCAUAUAAUUCAUCUCCUUGACCAAAAUGAUCAUAGGAUACCCCAGAGUUCAACUGUCAACUCUGAUCAGGUUGUCCACAUUGUAUUUCAAAAUAUCAAAUCCAUCUGAUGGAUUACCCUGGCCAAGGUUUUGCUAAAUUGAAAUACAGCGACUCAUUCUUCUCCAACUCUUGGAGUGGUCAAUCCCAUCUCGAUCACACUCUGACUUCGCAAGUAUU
rnacentral:lncRNA from 1 species